CAAGGAAGCGCAGAAGAGACAGGGGGUGUGGAAGAAAAGAGACUGAAGGAGGGAGAAAACAAACUCCAGAAAGCUACAAGAGAACAAGGAUUAUCUUGGCACCACUGCAUCUGUGCUUGGUCUGAGCUGGAUAUGACCCAACCCUGGCCCACACUGGACGCAGCUCAGAGACACUCCUACAAGCCCCAGGAGAGUUAAGACCUCUAUUUGAGAGAUGAGGACAUGGAGAAAGUGCUGAAUCAGGACCCCGCGUUUGAGUCCCACCCCAGCCACUGGUCUCCG